rnacentral:rRNA from 1 species
UACGUAGGGCGCAAGCGUUGUUCGGAAUUACUGGGCGUAAAGCGCACGUAGGCGGCUUUGUAAGUUAGAGGUGAAAGCCCGGGGCUCAACUCCGGAAUUGCCUUUAAGACUGCAUCGCUCGAAUUGUGGAGAGGUAAGUGGAAUUCCGAGUGUAGAGGUGAAAUUCGUAGAUAUUCGGAAGAACACCAGUGGCGAAGGCGACUUACUGGACACAUACUGACGCUGAGGUGCGAAAGCGUGGGGAGCAAACAGG